UACAGAGGGGGCAAGCGUUAUUCGGAAUUAUUGGGCGUAAAGGGCGCGUAGGCGGCCUGGCAAGUGGAAGGUGGAAUCCCUCGGCUUAACCGAGGAACUGCCCUCCAAACUGCUUGGCUUGAGACCGGGAGAGGUGAGUGGAAUUCCCAGUGUAGCGGUGAAAUGCGUAGAUAUUGGGAGGAACACCAGUGGCGAAGGCGGCUCACUGGACCGGUACUGACGCUGAGGCGCGAAAGCGUGGGGAGCAAACGGG
rnacentral:rRNA from 1 species